rnacentral:rRNA from 1 species
UCCAGACUCCUACGGGAGGCAGCAGUGAGGCCUCUUGGUCAAUGGGCUUCCGCCUGAACCCGCCAAGUCGCGUGCGGGCAGACUGCCCUAUGGGUUGGAAACCUCUUUUGUCAGGGAGCAACGCCGGCUCCGUGUAGCCGGACUGAGAGUACCUGAAGAAAAAGCAUCGGCUACCUCCGUGCCAGCAGCCGCGGUAAUCAGGAGGAUGCGAGCGUUAUCCGGAUUUAUGGGGGUUAAAGGGGGCGGAGGCGGCAUGGGAAUGCAGCGGUCAAAGUGCGGGGCGCAACCCCGGCCGGCCGGGGAAACGGCAGCCCGUGAGGGCGCGAGAAGUAGGCGGAAUGCGUGGGGGAGCGGUGAAAGGCAGAGAGAGCACGCAGAACGCCGAGGGCGAAGGCAGCAGACCGGCGCGCAACUGACGCGCAGGCACGAAAGCGGGGGUAUCGAACAGGAGGAGAGACCCGGGUAU